rnacentral:rRNA from 1 species
AUUGAACGCUGGCGGCAGGCCUAACACAUGCAAGUCGAGCGGAUGAAGGGAGCUUGCUCCUGGAUUCAGCGGCGGACGGGUGAGUAAUGCCUAGGAAUCUGCCUGGUAGUGGGGGAUAACGUCCGGAAACGGGCGCUAAUACCGCAUACGUCCUGAGGGAGAAAGUGGGGGAUCGUCGGACCUCACGCUAUCAGAUGAGCUUAGGCCGGAUUAGCUAGUUGGUGGGGUAAAGGCCUACCAAGGCGACGAUCCGUAACUGGUCUGAGUGGAUGAUCAGUCACACUGGAACGGGGACACGGUCCAGACUCCUACGGGAGGCAGCAGUGGGGAAUAUUGGACAGUGGGCGAAAGCCUGAUCCAGCCAUGCCGCGUGUGUGAAGAAGGUCUUCGGAUUGUAAAGCACUUUUAGUUGGGAGGAAGGGCAGUAAGUUAAUACCUUGCUGUUUUGACGUUACCAACAGAAUAAGCACCGGCUAACUUCGUG